ACCCUCUCAGGGUCGCACCUGGAGAGUUUCCAGUCCUCCACCAGUCUCGGCUACGGGAGGGAGAGUCAAGCAGAGGCCUACCCGUACCGUUCCCAGCCUGGCCAGUGGCUAGCGAGCGGAAGGCCAUCUGCUACAAGC
rnacentral:snoRNA from 1 species